rfam:Heligmosomoides polygyrus genome assembly, scaffold: HPBE_scaffold0003403
GCGACGGUGGUGUAAAGGCGUAGAGCAUUCCCGCCCGGUCAGAGGGAGGUGCGGGUUCGAGUCCCGCCUGGCGCU